AGAGUUUGAUCCUGGCUCAGGACGAACGCUGGCGGCGUGCUUAACACAUGCAAGUCGAACGGGGAUUUAGGAGAGCUUGCUCUCCGAAGAUCCUAGUGGCGGACGGGUGAGUAACGCGUGGGCAAUCUGCCCGUAAGAGGGGGAUAACACCGAGAAAUUGGUGCUAAUACCGCAUAACAUCAUUGGGCUGCAUAACCUGGUGAUCAAAGGAGUAAUCCGCUUACGGAUGAGCCCGCGUCUGAUUAGCUAGUUGGUGGGGUAACGGCCUACCAAGGCGACGAUCAGUAGCCGGCCUGAGAGGGUGACCGGCCACACUGGAACUGAGACACGGUCCAGACUCCUACGGGAGGCAGCAGUGGGGAAUCUUCCGCAAUGGGCGAAAGCCUGACGGAGCAACGCCGCGU
rnacentral:rRNA from 1 species